CUCGAUGACCGCAACUUGAGAGAUGGAUUUACGGACUACGUCUAAUAUAGUUCUGGAUAUAAGACUGAUUAAUGACAAUUUUAUAUCAAAAGUCUUGACCAAAUUACGUGCCAGCAGUCGCGGUAAUACGUAGAAGACAAGUGUUAGUCAUCUUUAAUAGGUUUAAAGGGUACCUAGACGGCAUUAUUAACCCGAAACGGAAAUAGUUUUGCUAGAGUUUGAUACGAGAAGGGGAGUAUUUAGGGAGUAGAGAUGAAAUUCUUUGAUACCUUAAGGACUGGUUAGGGCGAAAGCGGCCUUUUAUGUAAAAACUGACGUUGAGGGACGGAGGCUUAGAUAGCGAACAGGAUUAGAUACCCUAGUAGUCUUUGCAGAGAAUUAUGAAUGUCAUAGAUUAGAUUUAUUUUGGUUUAUAAAUGAAAGUGUAAGCAUUCCACCUCAUGAGUAAUGUGGCAACGCAGGAACUGAAAUCAUUAGACCGUUUCUGAGAACAGUAGUGAAGUAUGUUAUUUAAUGAAAAAACCCCAAAA
rnacentral:rRNA from 1 species